GUUUAUCAAAAACAUGUCUUAAAUGUUUAUAUAUUUUAAGUCUGACCUGCUCAAUGAUUGCUUGUAUUAAAUAGCCGCAGUAUUUUGACUGUGCGAAGGUAGCAUAAUCAUUUGUCUUUUAAUUGGAGGCUUGUAUGAAUGGUUUGACAAAAUGUAAUCUUUCUUUAUAUUAAUUAUUGAACUUAAUUUUUGAGUUAAAAAGCUUAAAUAUGUUUAUAGGACGAGAAGACCCUAUAGA
rnacentral:rRNA from 1 species